rnacentral:tRNA from 1 species
UGGGGACUCGUCUAAUGGCAGGACAAUUGCCUCUGGAGCAAUUAGUAGUGGUUCGAAUCCAUUGUCCCCAG